rnacentral:rRNA from 1 species
GACGAACGCUGGCGGCGUGCUUAACACAUGCAAGUCGAGCGAGGCCCUCCUUCGGGAGGUGUCCUAGCGGCGAACGGGUGAGUAACACGUGGGCAACCUGCCCUCAGCUCUGGGAUAACUCCAAGAAAUUGGGGCUAAUACCGGAUACGACCGCUGACCGCAUGGUCUGGUGGUGGAAAGAUUUAUCGGCUGGGGAUGGGCCCGCGGCCUAUCAGCUUGUUGGUGGGGUAGUGGCCUACCAAGGCGACGACGGGUAGCCGGCCUGAGAGGGUGACCGGCCACACUGGGACUGAGACACGGCCCAGACUCCUACGGGAGGCAGCAGUGGGGAAUAUUGCGCAAUGGGCGGAAGCCUGACGCAGCGACGCCGCGUGGGGGAUGACGGCCUUCGGGUUGUAAACCUCUUUCAGCAGGGACGAAGCGAAAGUGACGGUACCUGCAGAAGAAGCACCGGCCAACUACGUGCCAGCCGCCGCGGUAAAAC